rnacentral:rRNA from 1 species
CCCAAGGAUGGGACCGCGGCCGAUCAGGUUGUUGGUGAGGUAAUGGCUCACCAAGCCUUUAACCGGUUCGGGCCGUGGGAGCGGGAGCCCGGAGAUGGGCACUGAGACAAGGGCCCAGGUCCUACGGGGCGCAGCAGUCGCGAAAACUCCGCAAUACGCGAAGGCGUGACGGGGCUAUCCCGAGUGCCGUCCGCUGAGGAUGGCUUUUCCCCAGUGUAGAUAGCUGGGGGAAAAAGGAGAGGGCAAGUCUGGUGUCAGCCGCCGCGGUAAUACCAGCUCUCCGAGUGGUGGGGAUGAUUAUUGGGCCUAAAGCAUCCGUAGCUUGCUGAUCAAGUCCCCUGUUAAACCCAACGAAUUAAUCGUUGGAUUGCGGGGGAUACUGCUCGGCUAGGGGACGGGAGAGGCCGACGGUAUUUUCGGGGUAGGGGUGAAAUCCUAUAAUCCCGAGAGGACCACCAGUGGCGAAGGCUGUCGGCUAGAACGCGCCCAACGGUGAGGGAUGAAAGCUGGGGGAGCGAACCGGAUUAGAUACCCGGGUAGUCCCAGCUGUAAACGAU